rnacentral:lncRNA from 1 species
GGUGAACCCUGAAAUGUAGUCUCCUCUUAAAGUUAUCAGCAGGAAUCAGGGUAGGAUUCCUUCUGGGAUUCUCCAUUCUCCAUUCUCCAGGGCUUAUUCUUGAGCUAACUGUAAUUUUGCAUCUUGAGCAUGAUGACGUUGUGUGUGUUGCUAAGAUCCAACUCCCCAAGAAGAGAAUUGGGCACUUGACUCUAUGAGGUGGCCUGUAAACUCUGAAAUCUUUGCUCUCCACAAUCACUCAAAAGCAGAUUGAUGAAGACUCUGCCAUCUUCAAGGCAGAUGGUUGAAGAUGGUUCCCAAGGUCACCAUGGCCCGUGAUGUGAAGCCAGAAAAGGAGCAGAGUACAGAUGCCUGGAUCUCCCACUCACCAAAAUCUUCUUCAAUCAGACUCUCUUUCUUGGAUUUCAUGGGUGGAAAGACCCUGGCCAGCUCCCUGGGGUGGUUCAUCACACCCAAGUCUUUCCUGAUGAACUUGCCUCAAGUCUUUGAAGACACAUUUAACACAUCACAUCACCCUUGUUAUACUGUGCUAAUGCUUGACUGCUGAGAAAUCUUGAUGCUGGAUGAUCUCACAUUCUACUUUCUUCAAGAAUCUUCACAAACUUAAACAAUUGGGAAUGGGUGUGUGUGUGUGUGUGUGUGUGUGUGUGUGUGUGUGUGUGUCUAUGUAUGUCCUUUCUUCCUCUGGCAAUCAUGAGCCUAUUUCCCAGAGCCCAUUGAAGUACCUACUACAUUCCCAUAGUAACUAUAUUUCCAGAAUGUUCCUGGUCCAAAUCAGAUUUGAGAUUGCCUCUGGUUCAUCCCUACACGGCUCCUGCCUUUGGUAGAGGUGCUCUGGGCAAUAUGAUGCUCAACAAAUAUUAUCUCCCUAUGCCUAAAGCCCAAAAUCACCACUGCCAUUCUAAGUUGUCAAUAUAACAUGUAAGAAACAUUCAUUAAAUGUUGUAAGUUGAAAGUGUUUAUUUACCUCCACUGUGUGCCAAAUGCCACAAAAUUUAUAGUAUGGAGAAAAAAUACAUAAAUCCUUG